GCCUGGGUGGCUCAGUAGUCGGUUGAGCGUCCGACUUCGGCUCAGGUCAUGAUCUCACCGUCCGUGGGUUCGAGCCCCGCAUCGGGCU
rnacentral:tRNA from 1 species